rnacentral:lncRNA from 1 species
GUCCCGUUGCUCCCGUGGCUCCGUCCCUCUGCCGCUGCCUCCCCCCGUGUCCUCGCUCCCCGCGCCGCGUGCCCCGCCGAGCGUCGCCCCUGUGUCUCAUCUGCUGUAGGUGUUGUGCCUACCUCAAGAGGUAAACAUGGUAUCCUGGAGUCACGCCUUCACCCUCUGUUCUUUUCGACAUGAGCACUAGCGCGCACACACACUGGAAUGUAUACCCCCCCCCCCCCCCCCCCACCCCGAAUAACCUCGUGACCCGAUCCUCGCUGUAGCCACCACCAACUCCUCUUGCAAAUUGGAUGCUGCUUUAAAUGUGAAAACAAAUGUUCAAGAAGCUAUAAAACCUGAAUGAAAGCUAAAGCUGAAUUUAUAAAGCCUUGUUGCGUAUGAGCCAAAAGUGCAAAAAGCUCUAUAUAAUGAACUAACCUGCCACUCAUAUAAAUAUAAAUAUAUAUAAAUAUAUUAAAAUCAGACUGUUCUACAAAAUUGUGUAUUUGUAUUUUUGUGUACGUACAAUUUUCUGCUAAGCAGAAGGAGGAUGUAGUAUAGGAUGAUGUGAGAAGAGAUUUUGUUUAAUCCUAUUUCUUUGUUACUUAUUUUUGUUAACAUCCAGAUGCCUGUCUUUCGUCUUCUGUGUAUGACACUGUUCCCAAGGUGCAGUAUCCCUCUCCCGCCUCGUCCCCAGCCCUCUCCUUCCUCUCCGGGUGAUGCUCCUCGCCGUGCCCAGCUCUCUGCCUUUGCUCAGCCCACAGGGGAAGGAACGAGCCGUGGCGCAGACUGGGAGCGGGGAUGAGCGGUAAGCAGGGAAGAAGGGCGGGGAAGCAGCACCGUGCGUGGCAGGGAGCGCAUCUCAGGUACCAGCAGCGCGCUGCAGAGCGGGUCUGCUCCGUGCUUUGCUGCGGGGAGAAAGGGAGUUGCUCUGUCACUUGGUGUAGGCACUUAGGAGUUCCAAAGUGGAGAGCUGUCCAGGGAGGGUCCAAGGAGAGCUGCGUAGAACAGGCUGCUGCGGACAAUAACGCGGCGCUCUGCGGUUCGGGCCAUCCCAAUUCCCCUGCCCGUUCAGCCACGGCCUUGCUGCGGAGCGUGGAGCAAACGGGUCCUUUCCGUGUGCUCCCAUCUGCAGAACGAAGGUGGCAGUUCGUGUUUGUCCGACCUUCCUUGGGCAGUGGCAUCAGCUACUCCCCUCGUGCCCUUUGCGCUCUCUCUUUUUUUUUCUUUCUGGUUUUAAUUUCUAACGUGGUUUGAACCGAAUUCUGGUCCAGGGAGAGCGAUACUGCACCUUUCCAUGUAGGGCUCAUAUUUAUAACAGUGUGUAAUGACUGUAGCAAAAGUCCUUGUUUCUGUAUGUGAAUGGACAGAGAAACAAGUGCUCUAUUGUAUUGAUUAAAAUAGUUAAAAUGAGUCCUGUAUCAUUGUAUCUCCUAUUCUGGAUUAGUGCCUUUUGGACAGUAGACUGUUCUGUAAUUAAAAUGUAGUAUAACUGCUUUUUUGUACAGUUUUGUUUUAAUAAAACUUUUUUUUAAUUUGUGUUUAUUUUAGUA